GGGCGCGGGGCCUGGGCCGGGGCUGUAGCUAAAAGCCCGCGGUGACAGUAUGGGUGAAGGGGAGUGGGGCGGGGGAGGCCUUGGGCCGCUUUGGCCCGUGGGUGGGGCUGGGGUUCUGGCGGGCUGGAGUCUUGGGUCCAGGCCGGGGCUUUGACCCGUGGUUGGUGUCCCCCCCCCCCCGAACCCGCAGCGCGCGCGUCCUGUCCUCGCCAUGAGGCCGCAGCAGGCGCCGGUGUCUGGGAAGGUAUUCAUUCAGCGAGACUACAGCAGUGGCACACGGUGCCAGUUCCAGACCAAGUUCCCCGCGGAGCUGGAGAACCGGAUUGAUAGACAGCAGUUUGAAGAAACAGUUCGAACUCUAAAUAACCUUUAUGCAGAAGCAGAGAAGCUUGGGGGCCAAUCCUAUCUUGAAGGCUGUUUGGCUUGUUUAACAGCAUACACCAUCUUCUUAUGCAUGGAAACUCAUUAUGAGAAGGUUCUGAAGAAAGUGUCCAAAUACAUUCAAGAGCAGAAUGAGAAGAUAUAUGCUCCCCAAGGCCUCCUCCUGACAGAUCCCAUUGAGAGAGGACUUCGAGUUUUUAGAUUGAAAUCACCAUUUAUGAAGACAGAGGCAUGAGCAGUGGAAGAUAAACCAUAGAAUUAAAGAGCCGUGUGUUCCUCAGGCCCAGGAUCUAGUGUGGGCGGAAGUCUUGGAGGAGGGGGAGAAACUAUCCCACCUCCAGCUGGGACCCUCAUCUAUCCACUGGCCGAUCGCAGAGUGUCCCCUACCUCCUCUCCAGAGCAUCAUUCCUUUGUAUCUGCUGCCAGAGCCACGGUGCCAUUUACUCCAAGGACUAACUUUCUAAAAUUCCACACCUGGAGUGACCUCUAGUCGCUCAGCAUCCACUUUGUGUCUCCAAAUUGUGUAGGACUCUGUAAUCUUUUGAUUAGUUUCUGAGAAAACACAAUGACGCAUUUCACUUUUUUUAUUCAAAGCCGUUAAUAAAAUAGGCCGUUGGUUAACCCAACACAAAGUUUCUUUCUUAUCUGCCACCAGGACCAGUGGCACCAGUUCCCUUCAUUCCUUGGGCCAGCUUCCCAGGUGGCUCUCAACUUCCAAGUCAUAUCUCAGCCCGUGUUCAGUCUUAUCUCCCGCAAAGUCAUAAAAUGCUUUUCUCCAGGAUUUUGGUGAAAGGUAGGCUGUGUCUGUGGUUUUGCUAAUGCAUCUCCCAGAUUUCGAAGAACUACCAGUUUUGCCAUGACUAAAAUCUUAAAGAUCUGUUUCUGUUCAGUUUCUCAAACUGAAACUCAUUGGAAAAAUAAUGUAUAAUGUUAUUUGUUUUAUGAUAGCAAUUAUUCCUAAUUAAAGCAGUAUUUAAUGCAGUUUCCAGUUAUUUUUCUUUGGAGAAUUUUGUUAUUGCAUUACCUUGAAUGUUGGGAAGAUGUAGUAUGUGUUGCGUGUUCCUUACAAAAAUAAGUAAGCACAAUAAAGUGGAUGCUAAACCAUCAAACACAUAAAUGUCCCUGCUGUGUCCCUGAAUGUGUAAUAAGCAAGUAUAAUAAAUAUUUUAAUUAUAGUUUUGUUAUAAAUAUAACUUAUGAGAAAAAAAUUUGAUAGGAAUAAUACUGUAUAUUGCUAAUUUUUAACUGUCCCUACUGGCAAAUCUUAUGAUUCAUAGACUUUCCUCAUAUACAGUAUUCAGUGCACAGAAGUCUUAUGAUUGGUUCAAGUACAGUAAGUUCAGUGAUUUCCAACUAAAACUUUCAAGUCUGAGUCAGUGUUUCUAAUUCUUUUGGCUGUAUGUUUAGUAUCCGGGUUUCUUAUGCCCUUCCUUCAUCUUUGGGGUUUGAGAGCACUGUUUUUGGGAGAAAGUUCAGAAAUAUAUUAGGAAAGAAUGAAACAGUUAAAAGUUUUACUUUCAGAGAUACUGUAGGUGCUAAUACUGGAUUUAAUCUUUCAGAUUUAGUUUCUUUUACAGAUCUGUUAUUCAGUAAAUCUCAUUGGUCUGUGUAAUAUUUUAAUUGUAUAAAAUUCCUUUGUUACUUUAGAGCCUGUAAUAGUGUGUCUGUCUGCCUUUUAAACCUGUUGCAAUAACUUUGCUGAAAUAAGAACACAUUAGUAAAACUUUUCUUAAACAAA